rnacentral:lncRNA from 1 species
AGAUUUAUUCCCAGGCGUCUCCAGCCAGGGUUGAGAGAGUCUCUGCCUGAAACCUGAUAGAGCUGCUGGCAAUCAAAUGUGGACAAUACUGAGCUACGUGGACCAGGGGUCUCACUUGGUAUGAGGCAGCUUCCUAUGUUCUCAUGGAUUUGAUUAAACAUGAUUUUCUAGAUGAGAUGGAUUUUAAUAUCCCAACAUUUAUAGAGACAUACCAUACUUUUCCGUCUAUAAGACACUCCCAUGGAUAAUUUUGGGGACUCAAUAUUAAGAAAAUGGGGGGAGAUAGUACAGAAUGAGAGGAAUGCCGUAAAAAAGCUCACACAAAUUCCAAACAUUUGAGAUUGAACGCAACACAGAAGCCUCCUAUUGCAUUUGCAAUCAACACCAGCCGCCGCCGAUCACACGCCCAAUUGCUGCAGCAGAGCCCAAUCACCAGCAGACAUUGUCGCAGCAAUGCUUAAUCACAAGCGGAUAUUGUCACAACAGCCGAUCAUCCGUAAUAACGCCAGUGACAAUCUACUACUCAAGACAGAAAUCAUUUCCACCGUUCCCCCUCUGCACUACCCAUGUAUAAGACUACGCCAAUUUUUAAGUGUUGUUUAAGGUAAAAAAAAUCGUCUUAUACUCGGAAAAGUACGGUACAUUCCGCUCCUUUUAGGAGAGCUUGUAUGAAGCUUAGGUUUCAGCCUAUGUCUCCCAUGGCCUAUCAUUUCUGGAUUUGUGGCAAAAGCCAAGCAGAAGAUACUGUGUACUGUGUGUUGCAGUGUCACUCUUAUAAUAGGCCAGAAGAGAGUACAGCCAUUCCCCCACUUACAGGGGGAUUACCUUGCAGGCGCCCAUGCACAUGACUCUCCAGCUCUCUCCUGCCAUUUCCAGGUUUGAAUCAAAUUAUUUACUUACUUCCUGGCACUGCACAUAUACACAGUCACGUGAGAUUUGUUCAUGAAUAAGUUGAGGGAUACAGUGGUACCUCGGGUUACAGACGCUUCAGGUUACAGACUCCGCUAACCCAGAAAUAGUACCUCAGGUUAAGAACUUUGCUUCAGGAUGAGAACAGAAAUCAUGUAGCGGCAGCACAGCAGCAGCAGGAGGCCCCAUUAGCUAAAGUGGUGCUUCAGGUUAAGAACAGUUUCAGGUUAAGAACAGACCUCCAGAACGAAUUAAGUUCUUAACCUGAGGUACCACUGUACUUGCAUACAUGGACUGUUCCACCCCAAUAUUACGGGGGAAAGCCUAUGAGAGAAAAGCUUUGUUUACUACAUAUAGAGCGUUCCUUUUUGAGGUGACCACAAAUAACAUUUGGGUAAAUGUUUUAAAUGAGGUGGUUGUUAACUGUAUAUGUGAUUUCUGGUCUAAUGAUGUAUUGUAUCGUAUUUAAUCAACUUUUCUGCCACUAGGCAGGAUCAGUUUGAUCCACAGCUAAAUACAAUUAGUGACUUGAAUUUUUACCCAGAAUUCCCUACUUUAGGGGCAGAAUUUGGUGCAGGUAGACAGACUGAAUGUUUUAUAUUAGAACAUAUGGUCAGCUCAGACACCGUAACAACUUCAGCAAAUCCCAAUAUUUUGCCCCUCCACACUUGUACAGUCUCCCUUUUGUGUUCCCAUCUAUGGAAAUAUGACUACUAGUUUUAGUGCUGUGAAAUGAAUGUCAGAUGUUAGGAUCUGGAAAUAAAAGGAUAAUUUGAAUAUUUCUUCUUAUGAUUAUUAAAAAUGUAAGACACUCUAAAGUACUAAAAUAAUUCUUCAUUGUGUCUCUAGAGAAAUUUGGCUAACAACUGUUCUUAUUUGAUACGCUGGCAUAUGUCUUGAAAGACGGAGACAAAGAGAAAAUCUGUCAAAAGUGUUGAAAAAAAAUGAGAGCUAAAGUAUAAUAGAAGUUCAGAUUCAGAUAUUGACUUUUUUUGAAUUACUCAGUUCAAAGCAAACAUGACAUGUUUGGUAAGAGAAUAAUAUUGACAGGCUACCAUUGUGGAUCAGUGAAACAAAGAAUUUGCACUUGAACGAAAGCUGCCUUUCACAGUGUUUGAUCAAAUACAACACUGAGUUGAGUGUCUGCUCCUCUACAAACCAGAAAUGUCCAAAUAUUUAAACACUGUGAUGACAGUUUAUCUGUCAUUCAUGGCAUUCAACCACCUCUGGAUAGUUAGAGCUCCAGCUUUGGGGAGCUCCAGAAUUGGUAUAAGAAUGCACUCCUGCAGAUGGAACAACGCACCACAAAUGCAGCUGCAGCAGAUUGCAUUUCCACUUGCUGUGGGAACCAUAGGCCUGCCCUAUCCCCUUUGUUAACUUAAUGGAUUCUCUAAUGUGUUACUUCCUGUAUCCUGAUUCAUUACUCUGAAAUAAAGGGCGGGGGCAAGACUUCCAGUUCAUAGGGUCCACUUGCCUGGGCAUUUUUGCUCUGAAGGCAGGAAGUGGGUAUUAACGGGUUGUGAUACUGAUGAAAGAGCUGGUGGAAGAUGCUCCUUUGGGCAAAGUGGGGCAUAGGGGUGGGGGUAAGUACGGUGUGGGCGUUUCUAUGCUUUUGCUUGCUGAAAUCCUUGAUCUCUCUCUUCCUACCUUUCCCCUCCCUGAAGGCCCUGUUCCCUCUUUCUUUCUUUCUUUCUUUCUUUCUUUCUUUGGAUGUGAAGUGUGUAUGAGGGUCCUGUGCUAGGUACCUGCAUAUUAUACACACAGUGUCUAUCUGCUAAAAUAUGUAUUCCUGGAAAAGAAUUAGCAUGAAGUAUAAUCUUAAUGAUGUUUUAAAUUGUAUAUUGUGUUUUGAUUUUAAUUUACAGUUUUGACUGCUUUGCUUUGUUUUGGGAGACACACAGAGAACUCUUGUUUUUGGAGAUGAUAUAAAUGCAGUUAAAUUAACCCCACUUACAUGGGAGUAAGCUCCAUUAAAUUCAAUAGGACUUAUUUCAGAGUAGACAUUGCUAGGAUUGAGACCUAAGGUUGUGGCUAAGCCCAAUAUAAUUGGCUUGCUCAAUUCCCAUGAUCAGCUAUUCUCUGUUAAAUUUAAUUAAAACAGGUGAGCCUGAUUUCGUUUCAUUUAAGUAAAGUUCUUAGAUCCAUGCAUGGAUCUAACACAGUCACACUUACAAGACUGAUCCUACCAUCUGCAGCAGGAGAAAACAAGGUUGUUCGAUCUGACAUGAAUCAGAUCCCACACUUCAGAGUAUUAGCAGGUUAAAGCCUGUUGGCCAGAUUGACAACCCACAUCUCUAAAUUACAGCAACCUAAUUUGAAUGUGCUUGCCUAAGACUAAAGAGAUUUAUAGGACAAAUAUAUUUAAAAAUGGGUGCAUGGAUCCAGUUUUACAAUCUCUGCAAAAUGACAUUGUUUAUAAGUUUUCCAGAAAUACUUGAGCCAAAUAUGUGGAGACCAAACUCUUGGCAGUUAACAAAUAUGAAAUACUUCAAGAUAAAAGACAUGGGAAAUUUGUGUCCUUUCAGUUUUGUAGGUCUAACAUACACAGUAAACAUUAGUAAGUCUAAUUAAAAGCUGUAAAAAUGUCUUCUCUAAUAAUCUGUCUUGUGAUUUGCAAGUAUCAAAUACAAGGAAGAAGAUAAAUAAAAUUUACUCUUUGGCCUCCCUUUGGAGCACAGAGGUGUUGUGUGUGGAAUAUUUCAGUAUGCAACUCCAACAGGCCUCAUUAGCUUGCCAUCUGCCACGGUGCAUAGAUGCUAAAAUGUUGUUAUUGCAAGGUUCAUUGAGCAGUAAAAUUAUAAUAUUUUUGUAAAAAAAACAUUUUAAGUAAAAAAAUCCCUUGAAAGAGACAAGGUGCCAAAUUAUGAUUGAGGCUGUGAUCUCAUUAAAAAAAGGAAGAAUGAAAGAUGCCACAGAAUAAAAACUUCUAUAUCUCUACCUUUCUCACUACUGCUUGUAUCCAUAUAUCUAUCUCUCCGUCAGUUGGACUAUCCUUAGGACUAAAUUACAGAAGCUUGCAAUUUGGAUGAUAAAGAGUUGUCACACCAAAAGACAGAUUGUACAAAUUAACUUUGUCCUGAUUCUGCGUGCAGCACAAUUUUGGCAUCCCAAGUCCUAGCUGUUGGUUCUUCUUCUUCCUGACUUAGUCACAUGGGUGAGCUUACUCAGGGGGUGAAUGGGGUACUAUCGCGGUGCCUUGUACUGCUUUUCUAGUCUCUGUUUUUUUUAAAGUGACAUACUAUUAGGGAUGAAAAGGUAACCUUUGCAUUAAGGUACAUUGUCUCCAUGAGCCAGAAUUCUAAUGAUGCCCAGGAAAAUAUGCUUUAUCCUAGUUAUUUCUGCUCAGGACUCUUUUUACUCGUUUGUGGGGUAUAAAUGAUUGGAGCUGUCAAAAAAAGUUGUUGUGCAGUUUCAUUAAGGAAACUUUUUCUCAGCUAUUUCUAUUCAUCAUCAGUCCUAGGAAAUUCUGUACAAAGAAAGGAAAAUUAAUAGCUGCAGGAAGUCUUGUUAGUUGGACAGUUAUCUGUAACUGUGAAAAAGAUAGCUUUAGAAAUAUUUCUCUUUCUAUUUAUAAAAAGCAGCUACAGAGGCCUCGGGCUAAAUAUAAACAACAUUUAUUACUUACAUUCCAUAUCUGUAUAAAGGUAUACAGUGCUAUUUUUCUAGAAAAAUAGGUAACGCCUCCCUUGUUCUCUUAUAAUGGCAAGGGCGCCCACCUGAGAGGUGCUGAAACUGAGUUCCAGUGAGUUCCGGCUGAAAAAAUCCCUGAAGGUAUACAGUUGCAAUAGAAAUUAUUCAACACCCAUUGCAAAUCAGGUUUAUUAUCAAAAUUUAAAGACUUUCAGCUGUUUGCAACGGGCAAAUCAAACAAAAGCAAUUGAAAUAGCUCAACACAAUGGAUGCUUCAAGUGGUUUCCCUAAAUUCAGCUGAAAUUGCAACCUAUACUGGCUUCUCCAGUCUUAUCACCCUUCACAAACAAGGAACAGGAUACAAAAAGAUAGUGAAGGCACUGAAAGUUCCUAGGGACACCGUAGGAAGCAGAGUUCGCAAAUUCAAAGUUACAGGAACAGUGGUUACACUACCUGGACCAUUGCACAGGAUCAUCAUAAUGCAGAGUCCUUCCAGAAGGGGCCUGGGGUGGAGAAGGGGGGCCCUGGCACACCCUAAGCUCAGGUUGUGGCACCUGCAUGGCUGGAAUCUCUGACCCCAGACACCCAGUGAGACCCUGGAGACUUGGCUUCCUCCACACCAGGGCCAAAUGUUGGGUAAUUCUCAUGGAGAAGGUUGGGGUGUUUCCUAAUACUGAUGGAGGGCCAUUUUAUCAGCAAGGAUUGUUUGAAUGUGUAGCAGGAUCCUUGCCCUACUGCCAUGCCAACCCUGCUUUCUACUGUUAUUGAAUAAAUAUUUGACCCAAUUCCUCCCUCCCACCAGCUCUGUGUCCUACCUAGUUAUUUCACUGUUGUCACAGAGCCCCAAACUGUCCCUGACAGGACAAUUAUAUUAUGCCUAGAGUACCUAAAGCUGCUUAGGGUGCAUAAUUGAUUUACCAAGGUACAUAGGCUAGAACUAGACAUUAGGGCACAUUAUUAUUAGUAGUAAUAGUAGUAGUGGUAUACCACCUUCAUCUGAAGUUCACAGGGCGGUUCACAAUAU